rnacentral:rRNA from 1 species
GAACUGCGAUAAGUAAUGCGAAUUGCAGAAUUCAGCGAGCCAUCGAAUCUUUGAACGCACAUUGCGCCCGCCAGCAUUCUGGCGGGCAUGCCUGUCCGAGCGUCAUUUCCUCCCUCACGCAGCGCGCCUGCGUGGUGUUGGGGCGUUCUGCGGCCAGGCCUGCGCCCA